rnacentral:lncRNA from 1 species
UGUAUGGUUUGAAGUGUUGCAUUGUAACUAUUUGGUAUACCUUAUCUCUCUUUCAUUAAUAAAUUUUUCUUUGGCUUUUAAAAAAGAAUUUGUCCUGUUAUGAGUUCAUUUAUUUGAUCUUCUUAGAAAAGAAAUGCAUUAUGUUAUGUUUUAAAAUACCAAUCUUGUGGAAUUAUACCAUGAACUAAGUCAAAUUGUACAACUUAGUUCGUUUUUUUAAGUAUCCUAAUAUAUACUUAUGUUUUUCCAGGUAACCGAAUAAGAAGAGUCAAACGAUGAUAGGCGUUCUGAGUCUAGCUAACACUAAUUAAGGAUUAUGAAGCAACAUCACAUAUUUUGUGAACUUAUUAUGACGUAAUGUUAUGUUUAACCACUAGUAAUAUUUAUGUUUUAGUUUUUGAAUCUUUGAACUACAUUAGUUUCUUUCGUUUGAAACUUCAAGUACUUUAAUUAAAUUUUUGAUGUAUGGAUCUUGUCACUAUUGAAUGAAUUAAAUAAAUGAGAUUCAGUUAUUUAUAUAUUAGUGCAUUUUUAUUUCUUUA